rnacentral:lncRNA from 1 species
AGGGGACAUAGAGGAGACGGUGGGGAUAGACCUCCACACGGGAUUGCACGCGGUGUACCAUCGGAUUGCCAAUCUUGUAAGUUAUAUGAAAUUUUUAAUUAUUAGAUAUAUUAAUGUUUUAAAUUUCUAAAUUUCCAAUUGUAUAUGUAAAUAUAGCACAAGCGAAGAAUGUGAAUGUGCGUGGCAAAGGGAGAAACUUAAAUUUGUACGAUGAGUAUGAAAAAAACAAGUGUAAGCCUUUGGAAUUGCUAAUUGAUAUCUCCGGGCGGACGUAUCGAGUUAUAG